rnacentral:rRNA from 1 species
UACGUAGGGGGCAAGCGUUGUCCGGAUUUAUUGGGCGUAAAGAGCGUGUAGGCGGAUUGUUAAGUCAGAGGUGAAAUCCCGGAGCUCAACUUCGGAACUGCCUUUGAUACUGGCAAUCUAGAGUCCGGAAGAGGUUAGUGGAAUUCCCAGUGUAGAGGUGAAAUUCGUAGAUAUUGGGAAGAACACCAGUGGCGAAGGCGGCUAACUGGUCCGGUACUGACGCUGAGGUGCGAAAGCGUGGGGAGCAAACAGG